rnacentral:tRNA from 1 species
GGGUGAUUAGCUCAGAUGGUAGAGCAGCUGACUCUUAAUCAGCGGGUCGAAGGUUCGAUUCCUUCAUCACCCACCA